GCCCCAUUGGCUCAGUGGUAGAGCAUUAGUCUCGUAAACUAAGGGUCCUGGGUUCAAUUCCCAGAUGGGGCU